AACGCACGAGACCUGCGGACCUGCGGAGGGAUCAUUAGCGAUUGGCCCCCCGUGGCCUCGUCGAUGUCAUCAAACCCCUGUGAACCGUUUCCCCCCCGGCCCUCGGGCCGGGUUUACACGCAUGCAAACACUGUGUGACGAACGUCUCGUGACCUUAACGAAACAAAACUUUUAGCAACGGAUCUCU
rnacentral:misc_RNA from 1 species